rnacentral:misc_RNA from 1 species
UCAAACUUGGUCAUUUAGAGGAAGUAAAAGUCGUAACAAGGUUUCCGUAGGUGAACCUGCGGAAGGAUCAUUAUCGAAUUACAAGGCGAAGGUUGUAGCUGGCCCGCAAAACGGCACGUGCACGCCCUAGCCCUUUAAUCCACACACACCCGUGAACCAAAUGUAGGCCUUCGGGCCUAUGUAUUUCAUAAACCCAUCGUAUGUCUAUAGAAUGUAAUUUUAUUAUUGCCUUAAAAACGCAACAAAUACAACUUUCAACAACGGAUCUCUUGGCUCUCGCAUCGAUGAAGAACGCAGC